GCGCGGAUGGUUGGAGAGACGCGACCAAUAAGAGAUGACUUGCAACGGAUUGACGUGAAAGUACCUGGCUUAUCCUGCCCCUGUCCAGUUAAGUGGUGGAGAGUUUUGAAGCUGUGAGCUCUGAUAGAGAAAUGUAUCAACCACCACAAACAGGUUGGCGUAUUGGGGCGGAUUGUUCUGUCCUCUGUAUUUCAGACCAAAGCAAGACAAUGUUUAAAGCUCGCUAUGGAUCUACUAACAGGAUCCAUUUUAAGACGACAGAGCAGAAAACGCUAUAUGGAGAGAACUAAAAAAUAAAGGGUCAGUGGUCUAAAAUGAGUCUCUC